CAGUCGCCGCGGUAAAACGGAGGGUGCAAGCGUUAAUCGGAAUUACUGGGCGUAAAGCGCACGCAGGCGGUCUGACAAGUCAGAUGUGAAAUCCCCGGGCUUAACCUGGGAACUGCAUUUGAAACUGUCAGGCUGGAGUCUUGUAGAGGGGGGUGGAAUUCCAGGUGUAGCGGUGAAAUGCGUAGAGAUCUGGAGGAAUACCGAUGGCGAAGGCAGCCAUCUGGCCUAAUACUGACGCUGAGGUACGAAAGCAUGGGGAGCAAACAGGAUUAGAUACCCCUGUAGUCCCUGUCUCUUAUAC
rnacentral:rRNA from 1 species